rnacentral:rRNA from 1 species
GACGAACGCUGGCGGCGUGCCUAAUACAUGCAAGUAGAACGCUGAAGGAGGAGCUUGCUUCUCUGGAUGAGUUGCGAACGGGUGAGUAACGCGUAGGUAACCUGCCUGGUAGCGGGGGAUAACUAUUGGAAACGAUAGCUAAUACCGCAUAAUAGUAGAUGUUGCAUGACAUUUGCUUAAAAGUUUCAAUUGCAUCACUACCAGAUGGACCUGCGUAGUAUUAGCUAGUUGGUGGGGUAACGGCUCACCAAGGCGACGAUACAUAGUCGACCUGAGAGGGGGAGCGGCCACACUGGGACUGAGACACGGCCCAGACUCCUACGGGAGGCAGCAGUAGGGAAUCUUCAGCAAUGGACGGAGGUCAGACCACGCAACGCCGCGUGAGUGAAGAAGGAUUUCGGGUCGGAAAGGUCUGUUGUCAGAGAAGAACGAGUGUGAGAGUGGAAAGUUCACACAGUGACGGUAUCUUACCAGAAAGGGACGGCUAACUACGUG